rnacentral:rRNA from 1 species
AAACCCCUUUCAGUUGGGACGAAGCUUCGCCGGUUAAUAGCCGGCUGGAGUGACGGUACCUUCAGAAGAAGCUCCGGCUAACUACGUGCCAGCAGCCGCGGUAAUACGUAGGGAGCUAGCGUUGUCCGGAAUCAUUGGGCGUAAAGCGCGUGUAGGCGGCCCGGUAAGUCCGCUGUGAAAGUCGGGGGCUCAACCCUCGGAUGCCGGUGGAUACUGUCGGGCUCGAGUACGGAAGAGGCGAGUGGAAUUCCUGGUGUAGCGGUGGAAUGCGUAGAGAUCCGGAAGAACACCGGUGGCGAAGGCGGCCCGCUGGGCAGUGGCUGACACUGAGGCGCGACAGCGUGGGGAGCAAACAGGAUUAGAUACCCUGGUAGUCCACGCCGUAAACGAUGGGCACUAGGUGCCUGGGGGAGCGACCCCCCGGGUGCCGGCGCUAACGCAUUAAGUGCCCCGCCUGGGGAGUACGGCCGCAAGGCUGAAACUCAAAGGAAUUGACGGGGGCCCGCACAAGCGGUGGAGCAUGUGGUUUAAUUCGACGCAACGCGAAGAACCUUACCUGGGCUUGACAUGCACGGGAAACCCUCCAGAAACGGGGGGCCCUCUUCGGAGUCCGUGCACAG